GUUAGUUUUCCACGCCCACUAUGUAUGCCAGAGACCAAACUCAGGUUGCCAGGUUUGGAGGCCUGCUGAGUCAUUUUACUGCAUCCUAAAUUCUAUCUUUUAUCAAGAUCUUUGUGAUGCUUUAUAUGGUUGGCCCAGGGAGUGGCCCUAUUAGGAGGUGUGGCUUUGUUGGAGUGGGUGUGUCAAUGUGGGCGUGGGCUUAAGACCUUCACCCUAGCUGGCUGGAAGUAAGUCUUCUGCUAGCAGCCUUCAGAUGAAGAUGUAGAACUCUCAGCCUGUACCAUGCCUGCCUGGAUGCUGCCAUGUUCCUGCCUUGAUGCUAAUGGACUGAACCUCUGAACCUAAUGGCUCAUGCAAAGAAGGGUGACAAGAAGAAGAAGAAAGAGAAAGAGGAGGAGGAAGAGGAGAAAGAAGAGAAGAAGAAGAAGAAGGAAAAGGAGGAGGAGGAGGAGAAGAGUCAUUCUGCUGUCAGCAAGGUGGUGACCUGAAAAGGCAUCAUCAACAUUUACGUCUGCAUCGAUGGCAAGAUCUGCUUCUCUUCUCAAAGAAAUCUGGAAGUUAAUCCUAAAGGAGAUGGGGACUUUAGAUGUGGGCAUUGAUGUCAGGGUCAAUAAAGCCAUCUGGGCCAGAGGAGUAGAGAAUAUCCCA